rnacentral:tRNA from 1 species
GGGCUGGUAAGCUCAGUCAGUUGAGCGUGGUGCUAACAGCGCCAAGGUCGUGGGUUUGAUUCCCGUUCGGUCCC